rnacentral:rRNA from 1 species
GAUGAACGCUGGCGGCGUGCCUAAUACAUGCAAGUCGAGCGAAGCGGGGACGGGUGAGUAACACGUGGAUAACCUCCUAUAAGACUGGGAUAACUUCGGGAAACCGGAGCUAAACCGGAUACUUAUAGAUGGAUCCGCGCUGCAUUAGCUAGUUGGUAAGGUAACGGCUUACCAAGGCAACGAUGCAUAGCCGACCUGAGAGGAUGAUCGGCCACACUGGAACUGAGACACGGUCCAGACUCCUACGGGUAGCAGCAGUGAGAAUCCUGCCGAAAUGGGCGAAGGCCUUACGGAGCAUCGUGCUGUGAGUGAUGAAGGUCUUCAUGUCGUAAAACUCUGUAAUGAGGGAGGCGGUACUUGAUCAGAAGGCCGCGGCUAACUACGUGCCAGCCGCCGCUCUAAUAC